ACGCUCGCUUGCUUGUUGGCAACACACAUUUUGGCCAAUUACCAGCGCUUGCUGCUGAACACUUAGCCAGUUUAGUUUUCAAUACGAGCUCUUGGUCUGUUGGUCGUGGGUGAUGCGUCCGGGCCAACUAAGCGAACGAUUAACAGCAGAUGGUCAAUUUCAAAUUACAAAACAAAAACAAAUUUAUCAAAAUAACAAAUAAUUAAGUAGAAUAAUCACUGGCACCACGUUUUUGUUUAAUACGCCAAUUGGGACUUAAUAAAGUUGCAAAAAAUAUAGAGGUAAAUAAAUUAAAAAAAAAAAAGAAAAAAAAAUCAAACAUAACAGUGAUCUAAUAGCAAAUUAGAAUGAAGUGCGGUAAGCGUUGAUGCACCCGUGUGGGGUGAAGUGAGGUGAAGUUAAAUGAAUUGUAGUGAAUUGAGUGCGCUAUUAGAGCGGCGCUUCAGCAUCCCUUGCCUGAAUUUGCUGCUGCUGUUGUUUUAGAGUUUCGUUAGUGGUGUACGAAAGAAGUAUGAAGAUAUACUUUCAUACAUACAUACAUGUAUGUGUGUAUCUGUGAAUUAAUGCGCAUCUAAGUAUCUACAUUUGGCUUAGCAGCGACAACAAGCACAACGAGAUUUAAGAGUUUCUCGUGCCGCAGCGCCUGGGCAUCUGGGUUUUAUUUAUAUUUUUUUCUCACCGUUCAUUUUUGUUCUUGGCUUUCAAGAGUUGGCCAACGGCAACAGUCGCAGCAGCAACAACUAUAGUGCUAAAGUCGCAUUUGUGACCGUUGUACCAGCAUCGCUGAUUGUGUUUGUGUUGGUGGGUUUUCAGCAGUAUUUAUAGUGCGCGUCUAACUUACUGUAAAUUGCAGGAAAAGAAGAAAAAACAAAGCGGCAUAAAAACAACUAUACAGUCAACAAAGAAUACAAGAAGUCCAAGUAAACAGAAAUCAGAAAUCAUUUGCAGCAGCGCGUCUGUGUUUGUUGCUGUGCGGUAAGUGAAGUGGCGGAUGCAAACUACGAGGUAGUUGUUGCAAAACAACAAGAAAAAUUAGAGGAACUAUUGUUUGCACUUACAGAAGUUGCAAUUUGGUUUUCUUACCGCGCGCUCUCCGCUGUGUUGCUUCAAAGUGUACUUGCACGAACAAUAAAGUGGAGUGUUGAUUUAAUCAAAGUGAAAGAAGUUGUAGAAAUAUAUAAAAAAAACGUAUUUCUGUAAAUGGGCAUACAAAAAGUAGCGCUGUAAAAAAACAAAAAAAAGAAAAACAAAACAAAAAAAAAAUUUAAUUAUUUGUUAAAAAAAAAAAAAUUUGGGAAAAUAUUAUACUAAUCGAUAAUUGAAUAAAAUACUUUUCGCUUUUAAUUUUACUCACAAUCGUUUGUGUACUUGAAUUGUGCGCAGUUUACUGAUUUUUAGCGCAAUUUUAAUUAAGCUGUGAAUUUUCUGUGAAUCUGCUGCAUAUCGGAAGCGUGAAAAUUUCCUAAGCUGAGCCCAGUUUUAUGCUGUGUAUAAAUUACACUUACGUAAGCAAUUUCAAAACUUUUGAUUGGCUGACUGACUGCCAGCCUGCAAUUUUUCACUGUAACAUCUCAACAUCUGCAACAGGCAAGCGGUCGAUCUCUGCUUCUUGUUCUAAAUAACUUUUAGAACGUGCGAAUUCCUACGGCAGUGAAUAAAUUGUUGUUGUAGCUGUUUAAUUCAAUUAGUGAUGAUAAUCAAUUUUGGGGACAACACCUGGUGAAUUGGAACUGCGGGUAAGUUUUUUUAAUGGGUUUUAAUGGAAACAGAUGUAAAUAUGAUAUUUGCUUACUUGAUUGCUUAUGAAAAACCCUUUACUUAUAUUCGUACAUCAUUUGGGUAUACCCGUGCCCACAGGAAUGACAGCGUGACAUAUUGUAAAGUUUUGAUUGUUAAUUUAUUUUUCCCUUUUUAUAUAAAGAACAAAGUUUAUAUUAUAAAGAGAGGCAUACCUAUAAUUUAAAAUUUCAAACUUUUCAUAAAAUCUUAAAAAAAUAAGCAAAUUUUCAUUAAAAUUUUAAACUUUUGAAUCAAAAUUUCUGAAAAAUUUCGGGUAUGCAAUUGCCGGCAUUGUGUAUUUAUUUUCCUUUUUUCGUUUAAUUGUAUCUACUUUUUUUGAAUAAUAUUUUUUUCAUAUGGUUUUUUGAGUUUAGUUUCUUUCAACUUAUUUUGUUUUUUAUUCAUUUAUUUAAUUUAAUUUAAUUUUUAGUUUAAUGUAUUUUAGUUUAAUUUAUAGUUUUUAUUUAUUUUACUUUUUUCCUUAUUUAGGUUAUUUAAUUUUUUUUUCAUUUUAUUUUGAUUAUUUCUUCGUUUGCAAUAGUCCAUUGAAUUUUGAAAAUUUAUUUCCUCAGAAAAAGCUAGUUUUAAGUGGCGCACAAUUACCGUUGAUUUUUGAAGAAAAAAAAAAUGCUUCACUCUAUUUCCUAAGUACUAUGUAUAUGUAAAGUAUAGCGGUAUGCCAUGCGGUAGCACACAAUUAGCAUAGCAAAGACCAAAGUAAUGCAGAUUAACACUACCGAAAUGCCUGCUCUUCAAAUGUCGACACGCCGCUUAAAGAUGUAGAUAAUUUUGCAACUUUGGGAGCAUAAUUUAAAAAAUGCGUCGGAAGUGGAAAUGGAUCGGACACACAUUGCGCAAACCACGGGAUGACAUCACAAGGACAGCGCUAGACUAGAAUCCCCAAGGAAGCCGUAGGUGCGAGAGACUAGCCAACACAUGGAAGCGACAAGUAGCAGCAGUCAAAUUAAACAUCUAGCUCUAACUAAACGCAAUUAUAACCUGUUUAUUGAGGCCCUUUGUUUCAUCUAGGAGCUAUGGGAAUAUAUAUAUACAUGUAAAGUAUAAUGAUAUAUAACGAUUUUUUAAUAUACAAGACCAUCAGCAAAAAAAUUAUCAAAAAUCGGUGUGAAACAAUUCUAAAAAUAAAAAGUUUGAAAUUUUUAUUAAAACUUCACAGCAAUAAAUCUGAAAGACGACAGUGACAUAGAAGUAAUAACAAUAGAAAACCUAAUUGGUAGAUGGAAUUCCAAGUCAAUCCACGCAAAAAAAAAAAAACACAAAAAGAACCACAAGACAUACAGCUGGCUUCAAUGCACAAAUAUUUUCGCGGAAGCUGAAGGUCUGAUAACAGCUCUACAAGAUGGAGUACUACGCACGAGCAAGUAAAUAUAUAAUAAGCGAACCAACUGUAAUUAACGAUAAAUGCCGGAGAUUUUGGAUUGCACCCUACAAACUCUUUUUAAUAGCUACUCAAACCACUAUAAGGAGAGACACGACCAAGCUGAAAAAAAUCUCCACAUCGAAAUACUAAACACCUGAAAAUAAGAGACACCGUGGAACAAUAUUAGAACUAUAAGAACUAUUAAAACUCUGGGUAAACUUUUGAAAAUACUGAAUACAAAAUGGGAUAGAUCCAUUCUAAUUCUCACUAUACCAAGCACAACAAUAUCAAAUAGGCCACACAUGAUAAUUCCGGAAAAGCUUAAUAAAAAAGCACAAUGAUUUGAUUGUGGACACAAUUAACACGAAGGAAGCAACAAAGCCACUAGCUCGAUUUUUGCAAUCAAUACACAGUCUAAACGAAGUUAAAAUAAUAUUAACUGUAAUAGGCUCAACCGGAGUAGUACCAAAACACACAGUGGAAGCUAUGGUUGCACUAAACCUAGAUCCUAAAAUCUUCUAAACUUAGUAGCUAUAUGAUGAAAAAACAGCGAUAACUAAAAAUAACAGAGCGCAGCCAUUGACCUUCGGACGCGGGUGCAGUUAGCUCUGAAUGACGCAUUCUGUGUCAAAAAAGUCAACAUAUUUUCAACGUAUCACUCUGCUAUUAUUGUGAGCCGUGGUGCAUGUACACAAGUAUAAAUUUGUAUUAUGAAGCGCGAGUAUUUACUUACGUACUGGAAACACAACCUUCGUAGCUCUUCUAGGCACCUGUUGAAAGCAGAUUUUCGCAGAAAUAUUUGCAUAGCUUUGGGGGCUUCAGCUUCAUUUCCUGCGCUUGGCCUGGUUGAGUUGAAACAUCAUUUUUGUAUUUAUUUACUUCUCAGACAUCAAGGGGAACAUGAACAGUUUGCGCUGCUCUUAAACGUGUGUAAGUGUGUAAGUGUUGACAAAAAAAAAAUGGUGCAUAUUUAUGUGCGUUUGAACACUGCUUCUACAAUGCUUCGCUACUCCAACAGUAACUGAGUUGUUUAAAUGAAAAAUAUUCCCAUGGAAAACCAUUGGACGCGUGCAAUCGCGAAAGGUAUGUCACUCAAAAGCAAAUAAUUCGUCAGCAGAAUUUUCGUGAAUAUUGAAGGCGUACAAAAGCCAAUUGCAGUGGCUUCUGUAGUCGCCAUUUACCAGUUGCAAUGUGCGUAGGCGUGCAGUAGAUCAUACUUUUGCUUCAAUAUCGCGUUUACGGCUUUUCUUCUUCGUCUUUCUCAACCAUACCUACUGAUACAUACAUUUUUGCCCACCGUUGACUGUUUUGCGGCUGGAAUUCCAUUGCAGAAAUCUUUUGCAUAUUUUGUUGUGGCUACUGGAGUAGCACGUAAAUAUUGGCGCGGCUUCCCUGCUGCCUUUUCUUUUAGCUCCUCGAUAUUCAAUAAGCGAAAAAAUUGUUUUCAUAAAUAUGGCGGAGUAAAAAGCAAUAAUGCUGUGGGCGACACAAAGGAAAUAUUUUAAUUGUUGAUGACAAAGAGAAAUCGCACAAAAACAGAUUUUUGUGCGGGAAAGAGAUUGAAAGGGUUCACAUACGUCGCUGGGCUAUUAGGAUGGAUUGUAAAACAAACAAAAGGAAAAAAAAAAACAAAAAAAAAAAAUUAUAGCUCCAAGUAACUACAUUUUUACUGAACUCUCAAAUCCAUUAAAUAUAUCAUUUGUUAAUUUUGAAAAAAUUGUUAAAAAUUUCAGCAAUUACUGUUGGAGCGCUUUACACUAAUACAGGUUCAUACAAACAUGACAUAAUUUUUACUACAAGGUGGCUCUAAAUUAAUCAUCCUAUUGGUUUUUGAAUAACUUUUUAAUAAUUAAAAAAAAAAUAUUUAUAGUGAGGUUAAUCUUUAUUUUCACCUUUACAUGCUCUGUUUCAUGCCUCUUUGUAUGCUGCAGCUGUUUUAAAAGCCAAUAUGACGGCUUUCCAAAAAUUAUAAAUCUUCCUAUUGGAUGAUUAAUUCUGCUCCACUUUGCAGCAGUCUUGAAAACAUGUAAUUCUUGUCAAAAUGUAGGGUAAAAUAUAAAUUGAGUGAAAAUAUUUGUAAAUAUUCCGGUGUGCGUGUGUAUGUAAUUCUUCUCCCCCUACAUGGCUGGACCGAUUUUGAAGAAAUUGUUUUGUAGCUGCUAUGAGGGUACUUGCCUGGUUCUUAGCUGCGAUUAAACCAGAUAUCUGAUCUAGGUAUAGAGCUAUUUUGGGCAUUGAAAUGAGUGACCACCUUUUUGUGUUUUAUGUUGAGAAAUGAAAUAAAGUAAAAUAAAUGAGAUUUCUGCUUAUUCUUUUGCUCAAUUUUCGCAAAAUAUUUUGAAAUAUAGAACACUUUACAAAAAAUCGUAUCCGCAUCAAAUAAGGUGUAAGCGACUGUAGGUAGGUAGGUAUAGUGGUUGUCGUUUGACACACCUAGGCCUGCUGUAGACCCUUUGUGAUACCACCGGGGCUGUCCCCUCUCCUCACUCUACAUCGUCCUCAUUGAACCAACCUGUGGCUUUGAUAUAUCUAACAAGACUUGUUAUUUUUAUAUUGGCUACUUCUGCCAAGUUAUUCACGGAGCUUUUUCCUAAAAUAUUGAACCUUCUUCUAUCCAGAGCCAUGCACCCGCAUAGAAAGUGUUCUAUAGUAUCUUCUUCUUUAAUGUCGUUACAGCUUCUGCAAUAGUCGUUAUAGGGCGUUCCCAGUCUACUGGCAUGCCUACCAAUCAGACAAUGCCCUGUUAGGACUCCGAGAAAAUUUCGCAUGUUUUUCCUGCUUAGUUUCAACAGUCGGCUUGUGCGGCUCUUGUUCCAUUCCGGCCACGUCAUUCUACUAGUUGCACAGGUCAGGGACUGAGACCUUAGCCUGUUGGCAGCACUGAUAGUGUGCUUAUCUAUAAACAUCUUGCAAGUUAUUAAAGGCAUAGGUACAGGUAUGUUCGCUUUGUCUGGUUGGAUCGGUAAUGUGGUAUCCAAUCUCGCCAGUUCAUCUCCUUUGCAGUUGCCUUCUACAGGUAUGUCUCUAUGACCCAGCACCCAGAGCAGGUUUGUUAUAAAGUACAGUGAUAGUUCUGUCAAAACGUCGAUACAUUCUUUUACUGUCUUCGAGUUAAUAUUAGGCGAUUUUAAAGCUUUCAGGGCCGAUUGACCAUCUGAAUAUAUAUUUAAGUAUCUUGUUGUGAGGACACUUUUAUUUACGUCUAGCAGGCCAUCUCUAUAGACAAUAUUUCAGCUUGAAAUAUGCUGCAGUGAUCCGGUAACCCAAAUGAGAUGUUGGCAUUCAUUCCUUCAGAAUGAAGGCCUCCGCCUACCUGAUCAUUUAGCUUGGAACCAUCAGUACAGAUGCUGGUUCCGCUUUUAUUGUCCAUUACCCCAUUGUCCCAAUCUUCUCUCGUUGGGAAAGUUGUGGUAAACGAUGUGUUUAAAUGGAACUCCACUGAGCUACAAAAGUCUGUCGUUCGAUGUAGGAAGGGGUGGGUAUUCGUUUAGUAUUCUUGCGUGACCUCUUCUGUUAGAUGCUAAGUUGCAAGAUUCUCUUAACCUAAGUGCCGCUUAACCACCGCCACCAGACUAAGACAUCGUAUGUCAUGACAUACCUUACCACUGCUGUAUAUAGCCAGUGACUGUUGUUCAUCCAUCUUUUCGUCCGUGCGCCCGAUACUUCAAGCAAAAAUUGAUAUAUUUCAAUGAAGCCUUGUAUACAUAUAACCUUUUUUCAGUGUGGGUAGGCAUUGAAAAUGGGCCGUAUCAGUCAGCAACCACAUUCAUCUGCUAUAUGACGAAACGAAGGAGAAAAAGUGAUAUUUUUAAUAUAAAUGGCGCAAAUUUAAUUAAUUUGGUGCAAGUGAUGAAAGCAAAAAACGAAAUAGGACAAAAGUAAAAUUUUGAAAAAAUGGGUGCUGCCACGACCAAUUCUUGGUAAAUAUGUGUAUGUCGUUAACGGCUAAACUUGAUACACGUAUUGUACCCCAUUUCAUUUAGAUCCGAGUUAAUUAUUAUCACCAUCAUCAUUAAUUCCUAUAGUUCCAGUGUGGAGAAUAGGUCCACAACGAAUUUCUUCCAUUCGGGUCUGUUUUCCGCCAAUCUCUUAACUUCAUUCCAGCUAAGGCGGCUGGCGCGGGAACCUGACUGCGGCAGUUGUCUCCAGGUAUUCGCUAGACUUCCAUGUCUGCGGCUUCCUUAGAGAUUCCAGUCAAUGGCGACCCUUGUGAAGUCACCAUUUCCUCUGCGUAGAACAUGGGAAAUACAGUUUCAUUUUCUCUUUUGGAUCUCUGAUAGUAUUGGCAAGAUAAUAUUUGGCCAGAAUGUUCUGAGAAUUUCCCUAAGGCAUCUAUUUGUUUUGUUGUAAUGCCUUUCACAACCAUAAAGUAAAGUAGACUUUGCGUUGGAGUUAAAAAUUCGCAGUUUUGUGCGCCGUGAAAUGUGUGAUGCGUUCCAAAUUGCUUGCAGAGAGCCAAAUGUCGCCACAGCUUUCUUUAUUCGGCUUUUGAUAUCAUCGCUCGAACUUCCAGAGACCGAUAUAACCCUACCUAAAUAGCUGAAAGAUUGUAAACCUUCGAGAUCGAUACCAUCAAUCAAGAAAUUUUACGUAUUUCCUGUGUUUAUACGCAUGACUUUGGUUUUCUGGAUAUUGAUCUUCAGCCCGACAUUCUCAGCUGCUUCGCGCACUGCUAGAAUCCUCGCUGCCAUGUCAAGCUAGUAGUGGGACAGAAGACAGAUUCAUCUGCAUAGUCAAGAUCCGCUAGACGCCCUUGCAGUUCCCAGGUAAUACCGCCUCCAGAUGAUGAGGCGUUUUUCAUCACAACGUCCAAAACGAUGUUAAAGAGAAGUGGCGAGAGAACACAUCCUUGUCGUACACCUGCUAAUAUUUUGAUAUUGUCACCGAGAAGUCUCUCAUGCAUUAUUAUAGAGGUCGUAUAAGAACCACGUCCACUUUUGAUUUGUUUUGACUACAUUGCCGGCCGUCCGCCUGAUGUUACAAUCCAUUGCCUAUGAGUUUCUUUGAUUUCAAAAAUUAGCAGGCAGCUCAAAUUAAACUUUACAAAAUGUAAGCUCGAUCCAGACCAAAUUCAGCUUGCCUUACUUGCUUUAUGAGGCAUUUAUUUUUGCCUCUAAAAAAAUCAUGCAAUCUAUGGGUACAAUAAUUUCAGACAGUUUCAUUUAAAAUUUGCUGUGAUGCCAUUCAUUUUCUUUUCAUAAAAUUUCAUGCACUAAUGCCAACGAAGAUGAGAUAAAAAUAAACACAAACGUUUGCCAUAAAAACCAGACUUAUUUUUGUAUCCACAUGAAAAGAUUCCCGUCCCUACUUAGUACCAGAUUACCUACAUCUCUAGCUUACAAUUUUAUGGCCUGUGAUGGUUACAGCAGCGAUAGUUAUCUGUAUGUAUGAGCAUUUGAAAUGACAAUUGGAAUAGUUUAAUUUUAGAAUCGACCUUGACAAGCUCAACAAACAGAAGUAGGCAAAACUGACCUUCCCCACUAUCGUUUCGUUUGAGUGGCAUGAACAUAUUGCGAUGGUGAUGAUGCCGCAGCUGGAUUUUCAACUUUAUUACAAAUACAUAAGGAAUAUUACAUAUAAAUAUACAAUAUAAAAAUGCUUGUGCGAGUAUUAACCUGACUUUGGACACGUUUUAAUGAUUUUUUAAUAAUUCUCAGUUUCGUUUUUUCUUUUGAUUGCGCUAAAGUUUUAGCUAUUUUUGGUGGAAUACUUUUUUUAAGUGAAAAUAAUUUGUAUUUAUAUAUUUUAGCAUAGGUGAGUGAGUACUUGUGUUUGUAAGUGCAAGUGUAUGUGCAAAUUUAAGUACCUUACCGCUCAAUGGCGAAAAAUAUUUUAUGCGAUUGAAUCGACCGAACGGAUGUACGGUAAUUCAAGCAACAAUAAUGGCUAUAAAACAUUGUAAAACAGCAGGCAUGCAAGCAAUAAAAUUAAUAGGCGUAACAACAUCAGCGCAGAUGAAAAUCACCGGAAUUAGAGUUGCUGACAUUAAAAGUGAACAUGACGCGAAAAAAGGCAUAGCACAAGGCUACAAACAUGCAAAUAAAUAUACAAAAAAAUACUUAAUGGGAGAUCGUUUUGGAAACUCCCCGAUGGUUGUCGUUGGGAGUAUAAAAAAUUAUUAUUUUUGCUAUAAACAAAGCCGAAAUAUGAUAAUUGGGUAAGUAUUGGCCUUAUGAGCAAAAGUGAGUUUAAAAAGUAAAAAAAAAAAAAAAUCAAAAUGUUUUUAUACGCAAAUUAAAGAACACAUAAAAAAGCAGUCAUAAAAAUAAUUAGCCGUUCAGGCUAAAAAUUUUAAGAUAAAAUAAAAUGAAAAAAAAUAGAAAAUAAAAUAUAAAAAUGCCCUUGGCAAAGGAGUGAGGAACAAAUUUGCGAGUGGGUGCCUGAAAUGGUCCACCUUUAAAGGCUGGGGAAUACGUAUUUUAGAAGUUAUUUGGGAGUUAUCGCAACACUUAAAUUAUUUGUUGUGAGUUUUAGUUGUUGUAACAACAUAAAAAACUCCUUUAACAUUUACAAAAUUGUUGUUGUUGUUGUAAAAUCAUAAAAAACUACUCAUACAUUUUUGUUGAAUGCUGCUGCCUUGACUGUUCUUGAUUGGAUAUAAAUCUGUGUCAUUCUGAUAACGUUGAACCGAUUGUUAUCAUCUACGGUGCCGUUGUCGGUCACAGAUAAGGGUGAAUUCACUCUUAUGUAUGUAAGAGUAAAAUUUGUAAUGAGUAAAUCUCUGUCCUGGGACUGAUGGUAAUUCUAAACUAAUAUACGUUCUGCAAGAAGUGAAAAUAUCGAUUUGUGGAAACCGAAAUUCAUUACUUAUGCGUAAAAUUCAAAACUUUAUUGAAAAUGUUUCGGAUUGCCCAAUUUUUGUCAAAUAUGUACCGUUUUGUUGUAUAAUUUGCUGACACUUUAAAGGUAGCUUCAUAAUGCCUCCCUUGUAAAAGGCUUAGUCUUAACUGGCGAAAAACUCUAGUAAUCGAUUUUCACAAUAUUCUCUUGAUACAAAUAUCUUAUCACUUAGGAAGUUUUACGAUGCAAGAAAAAUGCGGUAAUCUCUCGGUGCCUGGUCCGAACUAUAUAGUGGACGCAUUAAAAUUAUCCAAGUCAUUAUCCCGAGUCAUUACAGACGAAUGUGGCUUGAGUGUUGUCCUGAUGGAGCACAACACCUCUUCUGUUGGUCAAUUCUGGCCGUUUCAGGUUAAUCGCUAGCUUCAAACGAUCCAACUGUUGACAAUAGAGAUCUGAAUUUAGUAUCUGGCCACACAGAAGCAACUCAUAAUAAAUGAUUUGUUUCAAGUCCCACCAAAUACGCCGUGGAACCUCCCUGCCUGUUAGGCCUGCCUUGACCAACGUUUCAGCUGCUUCAUCACUGUUUGACCACCAUAGUUUUCGUAUAAUAUUGUCGUAUGUGACCCAUUUCUCAUCCCUAGUCACCAUCUCUUUAAGAAAAUGCUCGAUUUCAUUCCGUAGGGCUAAGGCUUCGCUCAUGGAAAUUAGAGUCAUCACGUUUUUCGUUGUUUAUUAAUGUUGCACCCAAACAUUGAGCUUCUUUUUGAAUCCAGCUUUGCGUAAAUGGUUUAAAGCUCUUUGUGGUCGAUCUUUAGCUGCUGGGCGAUGCUACGAGUACUAACAUUUCGAGCGACUACUGCUGCAUGCAACUUCGUGAAGAUUCCGUGCAACAUAAAAGAAGAAGUUUGAGAGUAAAAGCGUAUUUUCGACCUCAAACAUAGCCAUGUCAAAAGCUGCAAAAUCACACCUGUUGACUUUAUGGAUCAUAACUUCUACAAUUUUUCGUCGAUUCAGACAAACUUAGGCUUAAAAUGUAGGUGACAAAAUUGUCUUUCAGAAAACCUAUCUUAUGUCGGUAUAAAAAAUUUUUUUGUUCCAGAAAAAAGUUAAAAAACUUUGAUAAUUUAGUAAAAGACGUCAAAAAUGCCUUUUUUUACUUUCAACAGCUGUUUUGCGAAAACUGCGACUUCCAUUGACACGAAUUAUAUAUUGCCACGUAGGUUAUGUGUGUGCCUUUCGAAAUUUAUACACUUCAAACAAAUGGCGCGCACUGCUUUCGAGAUUGCAGGUAAUAACUGUACUAUUGCCCAAAAAACAGGUUUUUUGGGAAUAUCUCGGAAACCGUUCUUUGAAAAAAAAGUCAUUUUUGGUUUCAGCGACCUCAAAUUAGUCUAAAAAACGUUUUUUGGUAGAGAACCAUUUUUGAAAUUGAAAAUUUGUAAACUAGUGCUUUUUCUGUGAUUUUAUCGACAUUGCGAGGUGCAACUUUAACAUCAAAAAUGCCUGAACGGAAUCGGCGAACUAAAACUGCAUGCAAUUAGGCGCUAUAAACACCAGUCGCAAUUCGCCUUUAUCAAAGAAAAAUUGUAGAAUGUACCGAAUUCGAAUUUUCUCCUUUUGGACUUCCAUUGUUAACACCCUGUAACUCGCAACUGAAUGUAACAAACAAAAACAGCAAAAUAUUUUUUUUAGUGUGAAAUGUGAGCUUGACAAUGAGGUUAAGCUUUAAAUUGUUUGAUCAAUACUUUAAGAGUAUAGAUAGUAUAGUAUUUUACGCAAGGUGGCGCAAAAUUAAUCACCCUAUUAGAAGAUUUAUCAUUUUUGCAAUCAUAUUCGACACUUGUGAACUAGACAGCAGCAGCACACAAAGAGGCAAGCAAUGGAGCGUGUCAAAGUCAAAAUAAAGAUUUUCAUCACUAAAAGUAAUUUUUCUUUCAUUUUCAUAAAAAAAUUAUUCAAAAAUCAAAUGAAUCAUUAAUUCCGCGCCACUUUGUAAAUUAUAGAGAGAGAUAAAUAAACGAAUAACUUCAAGACCGCUUAUAGAUUAUCUGUUUAUGGCUCAGCUGAUUUCAAAGGAGGACAUAAGUGAUGCGAGUAUUAAUUAGCGAGACUGGCGCUACGCCAAACCACAGCUGUUUAGCGAGUUUCUCUUUCGAAAGCAGCACCUCUCACCUCUGCAAACAAAUCAAUAUAGCCGUAGCCUUCAGGCGCAUCAGAGUUGUGUUUUCGAUUUGGGAGAAAAAAGUGUUAGCACAUCAAAAUUAUAGCUAAAGCAAAGUACUCUGUUCCCAUUUCACUUGAAAUAGCUGCAAAAAAUCAUAUACACAUUUUUGCCAUGAAACAUAAGGGAAAAUUCACAAUAAUUUCAUAACAAAGCGGUACUCUGUUCACCGCUCUGUUCGCAUGUUGCCAAGAAGAUUUUUUCACCGCUGUUUUAACUGCAUUUAUUACUUAAAAAAUACUUACUUUCGUAAAAAAUUACAGUUUUUCGAAUUUAAAAAUUGUGUUCCAAUCGAAAUUCAGCGAGAAUUGUAAAAAUCAGCUGUAAAAAGUAGGCUUGCUUAAAAUAUUGUAACCAUUUUUUUUAUUACUACAAUACCUAAAAACAGAAAUAAGGUGGUUUUCAUCACCUCAAUCAGCAAUGCCACUAUUUCUGCACACACGCAAGCAGCUGCUUCGCUUCGCUGCUUAGCUUUAAAUUUUCCUGCUUUGAUUCUUUUCAUUAGUGUUUCUUUCAUGAUUUGUUUGUUUUUGAUGCUGCAAGCGAAGUGAACAGAACAUUUCCCUUGACGUGAUAAUUUUCUCACGUUUGAACAAAAAGAAGCUCAGAAAAUUUUUUAAAUUUAAAAGUACUGAAAAUGAGCUAAGCUUAUUUCAAAGAAAUAUGUGAAGAAUUGUGUGGUUUUAUUUGUCAAACAGUACUUAGGUGGACGAAGUGUGAAUCCAUUCACAGGAAGACCCCAACAGCAUUGAGAGCGAAAAAAGCUCAAAUUAGCAAAUCAAAAUUCAAAGCAAUGACUCUCACGGAAAUGCACACCUUCACUGGGUUCCUGAAAAGUUAUUAGACCAUAUUAUUAAAUUCAAAAAAGGUGCGAAUAAAUAAAGAAAAAUGCAAUUCGGGCCCCAUUUCGUGGUCAUAAAUCCAAAAAUAAACUAUCGAUUUUAGUGUUUUAUUUUUUUUGGUUGGUUAAAAUGAUGCACUUGUUAUCGAAAUAUAUACAAGAUUUGCCCCGACCUCGAUGAUCUCGAGAGCGCCGUAAACAGGAAUUCAUGUGAAUGUAAAUUUAUAUAGUUAGGAGUACAAAAUGGGUACCAAAUGUCGCUUUCCCUCUAUUUAUUUGAUCAGAUGAAGUGUAUAUUGACAGGAACAAUGUUUGAGCCUUCUUGAAAAAAAAAUGGGAGAAAAAUAACAGAAGCCGAUUACGUUCAGUGUUUGCGUGAAUGGAUGAUUCGCAUGGAAAUUUGUGUUGAUAGGUGAGGCUACAUGUCGAUGUUGAUAACAAGUAAUUUAAUAUCAAAUCAAUAUGAAAUGCUUAACAUACAUUUAAAUAGUGGGAAUACCUCGUACGUGAUAGAUGGGAAGUCAUAUAAUAGAUUCAAUUUAUUGGUAGAUAAUCAACUGUGGUUGAUAAUUUUAUAAAUUUGUCAAAGCCUCCUUGAAUUUGUCGGCGAAAAACUUGCCUGUGACAGUUGACAGGUUAUGGUACAUGAAGAAAUUAAUACGAAUAAAAAUGAGUCAAUCGGCAGGUCUCUUCGAUUUGCCAAGCCUAAGCACUGGAAAGAGCUUUCAAAACCUACAUUUGUCUCGAAGCAGCUAAUUAGUAUUAGCAAGGCUGCGUUCAUAAAGUGUGAUCAAUUUUUAAGGUAUCGGAUUUUAAAUCGAAAUAAAACAACGAAAUUCAAAUUGAUUGGGCAAUCUUUACUAUUUUUGAGUGAAAUUUUUUUUUUUAAAGAUAAUCUAUUUUAAAUGUUGGCCGCAACUGCGCCGUAAUUCGGCCAUCCGUAAACACCAUAUUUGAAUGACUCGUUGGAUGACUUCGGUCGGUAUCCCCUGAAUAACUUUAGUAAUGUUGAGUUCCAAUAUCUCAGUGUAAGCUGGUUUAUCCACAAAGCAUUUAGACUUUACCUACCGCCACAAUUAAGAGUCCAGAAGUGUGAUAUCACACGAUCUUUGUGGCCAAUGCAUUGCUCCGGGGCGAGAGGUAAAUUGCUCACUGAAACGAUUACUCAGUAAAUCCAUUGCUUCACGGGAUGAAUGGUAAGUAGAGCCUUGUAGUGUCUUGUUGGAACAAAAUGUUGUGGAGAUCACGGGCUUCAGUUUUCGUCAUCAAAAAGUUGUUCAUCACGGUUCGAUAGCAUUCGCCAUUCCCUGUUACAUGGGUGCCUGCCCCUUCUUUGGAGAGCUAUGGACCGAUGAUUACUCCAGCGCAUGGCUGCACCAAACAGUUGUUUUCAAUGAAUGUAAUGGGUGUUCUAGAAUGGGCUUCUUUUCGGCCCAAAUUCGGCUACUGUGCUUAUUCACGUAGCCAUUAAGCCAAAAAUGGGCCUCAUCGCUGAACAUCGCUAAGUUGGCCUGAGCGCGCGUUGAACACUUUUCACAGGACGUUGGUUUUCGUAAUACAAUUGUUCGAUUUGAGCCGUAAGUCUCUCCGUGAUGAAAUGUUAAUGAAUACUGAAAAUAUUAUGUAUUGAGUUUGACAGUAGUCAUGAGUGAUCUGUCAAAAAAACCCAUAUUGGAAAAAGAACUUCUAAUCAGAUCACACUUUAUACUCCACAUGUGGCGUAAAAUUGAGCUGGUCGUCAAUUAUAAAACCCAAAUAUUUUAUCUGACGUGGCGGCUGAUAAAAUUAUCAGUAUGCAGGUUUGAAAAAGUACAUUGAAUGUUUUUUUUUGUCACCCAAUAUUAUUGAAGUUAUACAAUACAAACUAAGCAAUUCAUUGAAAAAUAUUUAGCAUCACUUGAUUCAUCGAAUUCGCUAUUAAUUUCCUGCAGGGAAUGUAUCAAAAACUUACCUAACUUAAAAUUGUGCACUCACUUGUGAACUUUUUACAUAACAACCAUUUUGCAAGCGUGUGGCAUGUGGCUGCCACAAGUGAGUACGUACACUUUUACUACACAGGUACAUUAUUGUCACGCAAUUAAACGCACAAGUGCGCCAAUAAAGUAGGAUUGUGCGUUGGCAAUAACUACAAAUGCGAUCUGUGUGUGCGUUUGCCUGACUACGCAUCAACAAAAUGGCAAGCCGUAAACCCAAUUAGCCUGCCAAACGCAAAAACAAAAAAAAAAAUAAAACAAAAACGAAAGUAAUAACAAUAAAAGGGGCGUUUAUAACAAAAAAAAUCGUGAAAUAUGCCAGGUAAUAAUACAAUUGAGACAAUGAUCUCUUAUAAAAAAAUACUUUUUAUAAGUAAGAAUGCCUGAAUGUUUUUCAUAAUUUAAUAACUCUAACCACUUACGAGACCAUUCUUUGACAACUUUCGCGCCAAGAGCCCCAUAUCCAAAAAAGGUUGGUGCAACAGCAAACGAUGACAGCAACUAUAAACCGAAGCGUGACAAAAGCGAAUGAAUAAUAGAUGUAUGUGUGUAUAUGUGUGUGCAUGUAUGUAUGUAUGUGCUUGUAUGCAUGUAAAGCGAGAGCUCUGUGAGCUAAACUACAGUAAAAUGAGUAACUAAAUUACUACUUUAUAGCCGGCGUCUGUUGUUAGCAACGGAAGCGGAAGUACACGUGGUUUUAGGGUGUAACAAUAACAAUAGAGAGUAUUAACUUACCGUAGCAAAGGACAACAGCCUGCUGUUGCAGGUGCUUUCAUACGGAUGGUUUUGGCCAGCAGUUGGCGUCAGGUGUCUGACUGUGGUAAGCAGGUAAGGUGUGGUGGAGGGUAAGGGCCACUGAGAUGUUUAUGAGAAUUUGUGGUAGGUAUUCAACAAAGGUUAGGUGCACACAGUAGUGUCAAAAGAUAUAUGUACAUAUUUGUGCAUGUAAAGGGUGAGUCGAUAGAACUAGAAGUUCAAAUUUCGGAAAAGAAGUAAACUCGAGUUUAUAGUGUGAUAAAAGCAUUAAUAAUAAUUUUUUGAGGAAUAAAAAAUAUACUAAUUUUUAAAAUAAUACAAAGUUAUAAAUAAUACAGGGUAGUUUCGUUUCAUGUUUUUUAAGCGAGAGAAAGAUGUGAAGUAAAACAUUUUAAAUUCAAAACUUGAUCAAGCAGCUACUCUUAACUGUGCGAGCUUGAUUAAAAUUUAUUGAUUAUUUUUUAUUAUUUGGCAUACGCUUUAACUAACAUAGUUGUUAAGAAAAAAAUUUAAGAAGGAGCUCAACCAAAUACGAAAACCGGCUGUGAGCGUCCAACACAAAAAAAAAAAAAAAAAAAAAAAAAAAAAAAAAAAAACAUUUUUGAUUUAAAAUAAAAUUAAAUCUUGGAAACAAUUAAUUGAGUUUUGGAGCCAUAUAACCAAGUGAUAUAACCUAUCUUAACAGAAUUUACCCAAAUAAUAAUGUUACUAACCCUUUACGCAUAUGAGCCCAUAUAUGGUAUUGCAGUUUUGAUUAAAUUUUUCUUCCUAAUUAACUAAUAUGAAAUAAUUCAUUCUAUUUUAAUACAUAAAAUAUACAUUUGGCAAUAAUAAAAAGCAAAAAAAUGCCUAUUAUUUUGUAAAAUUUUGAAGUAACCUCACUUUUGUGCAAGGGUAUGAAAAAUCAGAAUUGAAGUGCGAGUGAUUCAAUUUCAAAAAACGAUAACAGAAAAUUUAACGUAAGUGCUUUUUGGCUGAAAAAAAAAAAUAUAUAUUUCCAUGGAGUCAAUGUGCUCAUCUCUCUCGGGAGAUAAUAAUUUUUUCGCUUUUCAACAGUUUUCUAUAUCUUACAACUAGUUUCACGGUGUAUGGUCCCGUAAAAAAAAACCAAAGUAUAAAACUUUUUCAUAAUUUUUUUGAAGUAAAACUUCUUGGGCAUUGAUGGACGAGCGAGAAUGGUGCGUAAAAUUUCAAGGCCAUGCAACGUUUUGGGCAUUUUCGCUCCGCGAGAGAAAAAAGAUGUAACAUAGAGGAAAAGGAAAGAGAGAGCUAUACCUUAAUAUAUCUUAGACACACUUUUCCUUGUGGUUACUAAUUUCUAGUGAGAAAUAACACUGCCUACUUUUUGGCGCUUCUUGUUGGUGUACACUUGUAGGAAAUUUAUUUUUGGUGCCUACUUUUUGGGGUGGUUUUUGGCCCGAAUUUUUUUUGCUUUUUUUUGUGUUUGGUGCCUACUUUUGGCGCUUAUUUCCAUUUCCUGGCUAGUGCUUGUGCGUACUAUAAAGAGCCAUACAUUCCGGAGUUGGAUUUAUUGGUAUUGCCUUGCGGUAAUUUGUGCCUGCUGCGUUUGAGCGGGUGAUAAACGCUCGGAGUAGUGCGCGUCGUUGCCACGGUUUGUGUUCGGCGUUUACCUACACCGGUCGACCCUUCUCCGUUUUUUGUAAAUUUUAUCUAUUUGUACUCUCUGCAAAUGUUGUGAAUUUCUUCGGGUCUCUCCCUCUUUCCUUGUCUGCCUUAAAAGUUUCACUUCUGUUAUGUGUACUACGCUACACGCACUUUUUAUUCUAAUAUGUCUUAUUGCAAAUUAAACAAAGCUAUUUCCACCGUGAAACUAUUUUUUUCUAACGACUUUAUUAAUUCAUGACGUAACUUGGAUUACUGCAUUCAAUUCAAUUUCAAUUUUAAACAUUUUUGUUGUAAGCCGUUUUUUCGGCUCGUUUUUAAUUUAUUUUAAAAUAAUUAGAAUAAAAAUGCGCUUGCCAAAUUAAACUAAAAUCAAUUAUUUGACCAGUUUUGAAUACUUGUUUUUGCUAUUUUUUUGAUUUUCAUUUACUUUUUAUAAAAGUAUAGCUUUUAACCCACCGUAACGGAGUAGGUUGGUGAGUGACUACCAAUUGAGGAUGCUGAGGCUCAAUUCUCCGUGCAUGAAACACCAAAAUAUUAUAAAAAGGUAUUUUUUUAUAGCGGUCGCCCCUCGGCAUUUCUGCCACGAAAAAGCUCCUCCAAAAAAAAUAUCUGCCGUUCAGAGUUGGCUUUAAACUGUAGGUCUCUCAAUUUGUGGAACAACAUCAAGACGCACGCCACAAAUAGGAGGAGGAGAUCGGCCAAACACCCUAAAAGGGUGUAAGUGGCAAUUAUAUAUACAGCUCAUAUAACAAAAGUCAUGUGAGUCCAACUUUCAAACCUCAUAUAAUAAUGAAAAAAAAAAUUAAUAGAGUUUCAUCAGAAUUUCAAUCUUUUUAAUGAGAAAAAUGUGGAAAAAUUCUCAUUAUUUAGUUUUAUAGCCAAUUCAAUUUUUUUUUAUAUUGAAGAAAUUACACAACAUUGUCAAUUAUCAAAAAUCACUGCCAUUUUUUUGCAACUUCAAACUUUUUUAGUGUAAAUCCAGGAGCAUCGUUAUUCAAGAGAGAAAAGUUCGCCAUCCAAUCGCUUGCUUAUUUCAGACCAACUUUUUUAGACGCGAGGGCAUAAAUCGGUAUUAAUUUAUGUUAACUGCUAAGGCAGCACUCAUCUUCACACCUAAUAUUAACUUUAUUUGGUUUUCUUCCGGAAUGUGAAAUAUUUUUUGCCUUGGAUUUGUCGUGCAAACCAUCCGUGAUUGCAUGCGAUAAUUAACAAUUAACAUUGAAUAAUUUUACCACAGUAGAGGGAUUCUAGGUCAGGUGAAUUCUCUUAGACCUGGGGAAAAUUUUGUAAUUUGGAUUAAAUCUUACAAAGCAUGUAAACAAAGCACACAUUUUUCACAUGAGUUCCCAAGGCGAAUUAAUCAGAUGAUCCACUGACAUAACCUUGUACAGAUACGCCUUAAAUUUACGUUAGAAAUUUAGUUUAUUAUUGGACAUUUACAAAAUGGAUUGCCUUUCGCUUGAAAAAAAAAUGUAUAUAUAUGACAUAUAAACAGAUAUGCAUAUAAAAAAAUUUGAAAAUUGAAAAUCGAAAAGUCAAAAUAGUGUUUCCGCUUAGAACUUGCGAUUCGAUCUCUUUUGGUGAGACGCUUUUAGUCAUCUAAAUACGAUUUAAAAGUUGAAAAAUUAAAUUGUAGUUGCAAUUGAUCAGACAAGCGCAGAAACUCUCGAAAAAGUACCGGGAAAUUUGGUUGACGGAAUGGCACAUUAUAAAGCGUGACGUGGGGCACAAAAGGUCAUGAGGUCGAAGUGUAAAUAUCUAAUAAAUUUGAAAGCGAGGCGUGAAGUAAUCUGAAGGAAAUUAUGUUCAAUGCACUUGAGGGCCUUUUAUCUAGAGCAAAAGUAAGAUUUUUUUAAAAUGAAGAUGUGGUACAACAGCAAAGAUUUAUUGAUUUCGAAAAUAUUAUAAAUUAAUCUCCUAGUUUGAAUUGAAUCAGCAACAUAAGAGCGCCACAUCAGAAGCCAUAGUCAUCACACGAUUGAGUUUACUUUUCGACUUUGAAAGUGUCAGCAUUUGAAAACAGUUGUAGCUUCACUCAUAAUGAGCGAAAUCUUAAUCUUAGUCUCAAGUGGUGAAAUCUCACCAAUUCUGCACCAGACAUCUCUUUUCUUGCAAGGUUUCUAUUGCAAAGCCCUGUAUAUGUACUUGGAAUUCAUAUGUAUGUGUGUAUGCACUCAAACUAUUUGUGCUACUCAUUGGGAGUGUUUGUGUGUAUUUUGUAUCUUUUUAUGCGUCUGUGCGUGCAAUUAUGUAAAUAAACACAAAGGUGCUAAAUUAUGAUUAAUUAGACUUUCGCAUGAAUGAAAAAUUCAUGCCCAUAUACAUACACGCACACAUACAUAUAGAGCAUGUGCAAUAAACUGCAAAUACGAACGUAAUGCCUAAGAGCUCAACAUUUUCUCUGCAUUUAUAUGUUUUGCAUAUUCAAGUGAACAUCUGCGCUUACAUUCAUUUGCUCUUAAAAACGUACAGUAAAUGUCAAUUAUGGGCAUUAACAACGGGCGCCACGUGGGAAAGCAUGCUUUUAACUUUGUAUGUAAUGGAGGCUCAUUUCGAGCAACAGUGAACAAAUAGAGGCACAUUUUUGGCAAAACGGAGCCAGUUAGUCCAAUUAAAAUUUCGGUUUAAAGUUGAUAGAAAAGGAAAAAAGAAAACCAUUGAAAAAUAAAAAAACUCGAUAAGCAAAAUAGAGUUCUAAAUAAUGGAGUGUCAAUUUCAGGCCUGUUAUUACUCAUCGCCAAAUCGCCUUGGUAAGCUUUACAAUCCCAGAUUACUGAACUGAACUGAACUUAAAAAUUCCCAGUUAUCACGCAGCUGUUAGGCAGAUAUCAGAUUCAGCGAGCGAAAAAACGAUAGCACAUCAACAUGUUGACUAAUUUUUACAAUUUUUAAAAUUUUUAAAAUUUUUUUAUUUAGUUUUUUUUCUAAAUUUUUUUGAUAAAAGUGUUGUGUAUGUUCGAACCAGCGGGUAGAGUUGACGGAUCUGAACAUUUUUUAUGAUCGUAAUUGAGCUGCAUUUCAGAGAUCCUCAAAAAAGUUGUUGUGCCAUAUUUUUCGUCUCAUCGUUCAGAGUACCUGACAUUCGCAACUCAGGUGUCUAAAGAGUUCUGACUACCCUGCAUCUACUCUAAAAGUAGUCAUGGUGGGCCUUUUCUCCAAAUGCUUGCCAAAUACUAUGCUUUAUUUCCGAAUGCUUCUCGAUAAAGAUGUGCUCCGUUGGUACUAAAAAUAAUCUAAUGUGCGGUAAGCGUAACCUCGCACCUUGCCUUCAAUAUAUAACAGGUGGCGCAAAAUUAAUCAAUUAUGGAAAGAUUUAUAAUAUUUGCAAAUAUCGUCCUACGGCAAUCAUAUUUGACACUUGUGAGCUAGACAGCUGCAGCAUACAAACAGACAAGCAAUGGAGCACGUAAGGGUCAAAAUAAAGAUUUCCGUCAUUCAAAAUAAUUUUUUUUUAGUAAAAAGUUGAAUGGUUAAUUUUGCGCCACCCGAUUAAUUUUGCGCCACCCUUUAUAUAUAUUUGGCGCGUAAACCCUUUUUGGGUGUUUGGCCGAGCUUCUCCUCCUAUUUGCGGUGUGCGUCUUGAUGUUGUUCCACAAAUGGAGGGACCUACAGUUUCAAGCCGACUCCGAACUAUUUUUUUUAUGAAGAGCUUUUUCAUGGCAGAUAUACACUCGGGGGUUUGCCAUUGCCUGCUGAGGGGCGACCGAUAUUAGAAACAACGUUUUCUUCAUUUUGAUCUUUCACUGAGAUUCGAACCUACGUUCUCUCUGAAUUCUGAAUGUUAGUCACGCACCAACCCAUUCGGCUACAGCGGGUGCCGAAUUCAAUACGUAAAUAAAAAUAGGUACGUACUUAUGUAAAUCCGAGAAUUGUUUUCAGUAAACUUACUAAACAAUCCACUCCAGAACAUUUCUCAUUUACAAUUUCUCCGAAAAUUUGAUAAAUCAAAACCGUGAUACAUUUUCCUUCAUAAAUAAAAAAUAUGUUCGCAUGCACUUUUAGUAUUAAAAGUGGCAGAAAGGGCACUUAAGCAACUAGAAAAAAAGUGCAUUAAGCUCAGAGGCACAUGUUGCCUUCAAAGAAAAGACUGCUCCCACUGCUAAUGGGAUGGAUUCCCACAAAAAAACAAAAAAAAAAAACACACACAUACAAAAAACAUUCAACAAAUGGCGCGUAAAAC